GACGAACGCUGGCGGCGUGCUUAACACAUGCAAGUCGAACGGAAAGGCCCUGCUUGCAGGGUACUCGAGUGGCGAACGGGUGAGUAACACGUGGGUGAUCUGCCCUGCACUUCGGGAUAAGCCUGGGAAACUGGGUCUAAUACCGGAUAGGAGCCAUUUUGAGUGUGAUGGUUGGAAAGUUUUUUCGGUGUAGGAUGAGCUCGCGGCCUAUCAGCUUGUUGGUGGGGUUAUGGCCUACCAAGGCGGCGACGGGUAGCCGGCCUGCGAGGGUGGACGGCCACAUUGGGACUGAGAUACGGCCCAGACUCCUACGGGAGGCAGCAGUGGGGAAUAUUGCACAAUGGGCGCAAGCCUGAUGCAGCGACGCCGCGUGGGGGAUGACGGCCUUCGGGUUGUAAACUCCUUUCGCUAGGGACGAAGCUUUUUGUGACGGUACCUAGAUAAGAAGCACCGGCUAACUACGUG
rnacentral:rRNA from 1 species